GCAGCAGCUGGUGCGGUGCCCGCAGGGGCUCCAGCUGGUUGGGACGUGGGAGCCGCUGCUGCGCCAGUUGCUCCCGCAGGUUGGGAUCCCGCCGCGCCUGCUGAGGCUCCCGUCGCACUUGCUGGGUGGGAACCUGCCGCUUAGUUAGAAUUUAAGAGAGGGACGGCUCGAUUGAUGAGAUUGUAUUUGUGUGAACAUGCACUUUGAAUCUAUAUUUUUGCGCAAACAUGGAGAUAUGGGAGAGCACGGGCGUGGUUGUGAUGUGAUGUGGGAGGGGUGUGGUAUCGUGAAUUGGUGAAAGCGGUCCUUGAUGGGGUGGGGCAGUUGGGACAAUGCAAUGAUUUUUGGAGCACGGUAGGUGGUAGGUGUCAAGGUGUUAAGAGUGUAGCUUGUAAAGCCUCCGCCCAAGGAAUGGGUUUUAGUUUGUAUAUUUUGUAUGCUUAUUUUGCGUAUAAACAUUUAGGGCAGGUUUUUAUUUUUUCCUUAGAAAAUUCAAAUUGUCUUGUUCUAAUUUGAUCUAACAUAGGUGUUAGGUUCUUAAGUGGGUUGGGUAUCUCCAACCAAUUUAGCAUCAAGAUAUUCUUAUUCUUUGUUCAAUCUAAAUUCUAAUUUGACCCAACUUGGGUAUUAGGUUCAGAGGUAGGUCAAGUACGUAUGAUGUGCCUUCUUUCUAAUUGGUCCAAGUGUUCCUACUAUUUAAAUGUUAUUGGUUGGGAUCUAUUGAUUAAUUAACCUGACCAAUUAAUAAUGAUAAACAAUUAAGAAAAUUAAAAACUUACAAGCUUAUGAAAAGAAAUAUUUUUAUAAAUAGGAUUGCUAUUAGAUCUAUUCAAAAAUGAAAUUCACUGAAUAUCACUAAGUUAUAGAAUUGACAAUUAGAUUAUAUGAGUCAACAAAGACUCAUUGAAUUAUACAAGCGUUGUGCUUUAGAAAGACAUUACCGAAAUUCUUAAAUUAUAGUAUUCUGUAAUACUUUUAGUUUACAAAAUAUUUUAAAAUAUGCUUUAAUAUAGUUUUUUGAGUACAAUAAUGAUAUGUUACACUACACAUAUUAAAAUUUAUACAAGCAUGUGUCUAUUGCUUUAAUAGUUGGAGUAAUAUGGUUUUUAUACUAAAUGUUUCAGUAACUAUUUGAAAAACUUUAUCACCAAAUCAGCAAUUUAUUUGAGAAAAACGACAAUCAUAUUCCAUCUUAUAGUCUUAACGAAGUAACUAAUAUUCAUACACCAUUCUAGAUUGUCAAAAGGAUCGAAGAUCCAAUAAUACUAUAGAAUAUAAUAACGAAGAUAGAACAAGUUCCGAGCUGUAGACAUCACCAAAAUAAAAAAAACAAAAUUUUUAAUAGCUAUGGCUAUUAGGAUACAACAGUAUUUUCUUUGAGUAAAAAUCAAGGUAAUCAUUCUAUCUUAGAAAAAAACAUACUAAAAAACUAUGCGUUCAUAUAAAUAAACAUAUCUAUAUACAUAUAUAUUUCAAUUUCAUGUAAAAUUGUGAUCCACUAAUUUCGUCUACUACAUUAUACUUAAAUUAUAUUUAGAUGAUGUGGUUGCCUAGUGAAAAGUUUACUUCUUCAAUAAAUUAUUGCCUCAAAAAAAAAGUUAAAUGAUCGUUCAAUUAAAAGAUCACUUAAUUUCAAUUUCAUUUUUUUUUUGUACAUCUAUAAAUAUCUAUAAAUACACACAUAUAUAUAUAUACACACACACAAUGUGCAACUGCACCAACUUCAAAGAUGGCAUGCGCCUAAGUUCCAUGCAUGCACUGGACAUUUCGACAGACGCUCACGCAUGGUACUCACGUGCCUCGCUUACUCGUUGAAACCUGCUACUUCAUUGAGUAGAAAGUUGGAGCUUGACAGACACAUUUGCAACUUCAGCGCAAUGGUCCACACGGACGAUACCAACAUCAGAUCGCGGGCGUACCUUACUGAAAGAGAAUCCCACGUCCUAAACCGACCGAGCUACCACUCUUAACACCUUGACACCUACCACCUACCGUGCUCCAAAAAUCAUUGCAUUGUCCCAACUGCCCCACCCCAUCAAGGACCGCUUUCACCAAUUCACGAUACCACACCCCUCCCACAUCACAUCACAACCACGCCCGUGCUCUCCCAUAUCUCCAUGUUUGCGCAAAAAUAUAGAUUCAAAGUGCAUGUUCACACAAAUACAAUCUCAUCAAUCGAGCCGUCCCUCUCUUAAAUUCUAACUAAGCGGCAGGUUCCCACCCAGCAAGUGCGACGGGAGCCUCAGCAGGCGCGGCGGGAUCCCAACCUGCGGGAGCAACUGGCGCAGCAGCGGCUCCCACGUCCCAACCAGCUGGAGCCCCUGCGGGCACCGCACCAGCUGCUGCGUCCGUCUCCCAUUGCCCGGCCUCAGCGGCCUCGGGACCCCACUGGGCAUCCCCUCCCAAAGCAAGCGUCGGCGCCGCGUAUUCAACUGCGGCGAACUCAGCUGCUCCUCCCUCCUCUUCCUCGCGGUCCUUGCCUUCAUCGGGCUCCCUGUAGAAGAACAGGUCAACCUGCACCGCACACCCGACCCCCCCCCCAACUCGCACAAUCAGCCCCCUCCCCUCGCCACCAACUAUCACCCAGCCCCGCUCUCCGUUCCUCCCAAUUCCCAUACGCCCUCCCACACCACCCAACCUAUCCCCCAUGCAUUACCCGCCACGUCCACCACAUUCACAUCCCAACCCCUCCCACCCCGCAAUGCCCCCUCCCCCCUCCCAAACCUCCCAAAUCGCCACACUCACCAUCACGUCCCAUGGGUGCGCGGCGCUGAUCGUGCCUCGCAUCUGCAACACCAUGCGGGCCAGCAGCCAGAACAGAGCACCGAUGCUGUGCUUGCCCUUGUUGUUCGCCGGAAUCGCGAUAUCCACGUACUUCAUCGGAGAGUCCGUGUCACAGAACGCGAUCACGGGAAUGUUCCCCAGAGCUGCCUCCAUGAUGGGCUGCCAAACAUAACACAACUCAUCGUCACACACCGCCCCACUUCUCCACCUUAUCCAUUCCUCACCCCCUCCAGCCCUAAAACAACCCCCCUCUGCUCCCAUCCGUCCAUCGUCUCCCACCUCAGUCACUCACCUGGUGAUCAGUGCGGGGGUCCGUCAAAAUCAGCAGCCUGGGCUCGCUGAACGUGUUCUGCAGCUGAUUCGUAAACGUACCGGGCGUGUGCCUCCCCGCGAUGGCCUGGCAUCCCGUGUACUGCGCGAAUUUCAGCACCGCGCGCUGCCCGUACGGCCUCGCGGACUGGACGAUGAUGUCCUGCGGGUUCUCGAUGGCAGCAAUCACCCUCGCGGCCAGCUCCAGCUUCUCGUAGGUCUUGCCCACGUUGAUGAUGAAAAUGCCUGCCCACACAGAAUAAAACAACGACCCCACUACCCUCGUCAAUCGCCCACCUUCACAAACCAAUUCCAUCCGCACCAAACCCCCCGCGCCGCCCCCGCACCAAAAAACGAACACUCGCACACGCACCCAACCAAACCCCAACACGGGCCACAGGGGGAAAAAGCCCUAAUUACCAUCGGAGCGGCGCUUCCAGACGUAGCGCUCCAUCUGGAAGUCGCAGUUCUUGGUGCCGAGGUGCACGUCGGCAGCCAGCAUCAUCUGCACAUCGCUCUCCUUCAUGGUGAAGUCCGGCAGGGGACCAAAGCUGGAAUCACAGACGUCUGAAAGCUGGAAUUGGCGCUGCGAAAAGGACCGGCAGAUGUGCCGAGGCGAGCCUCUACACACCUCGGGACCGGGACGACGAAGCUGGAGCCCUAAAGAUAAAGAGACGGGGGCGCCGGGUGUCUUUUACGUUCGCGCCUUCGAUUUCCCCUUCCCUUUCGUGUGCGUUUUUGUUGACCUUCCUUCCAAGUUGCAGUCUGUCGGGACGUCGUGCUGAUGAGGGUGGGUCUUCGUCGCUGUUUGCCUCGGGUGGUUGGUGUUCUUCUUUUCUUCGUGUUGGAUGGAAGAGGCUUCUUCUUUCCUCACAGUGCCUUGCCAUCCUCAUGCGCUCGGCCUUUGUCCUAUGACUUUCUUCCCUUCGUUGCUGGUUGGGUUUUAGAUUAUUCGCUCAACUGUUUCUGUUUCUUUUUCUUCUCUCUUUCCCUCUCCCACUGGUCAUGUGGGUGUGUUCUUCGAAGUCUCUUCCUUUCUUUGUUACAUUUUGGUUUUGUUGUUUUUUUAUCUUGUGUAUUUUUACGAUGCAGGCUCGCAUGGCGAGUUGCAAUGUGAGGCUAGGCUUUUAACAGCACUUUUGACGGACUAAAAUUGAUCACGAGUUUUCCUGUUGAAAUGCUUGAAUUUUUGGGGGACGUCAGCGAACAAUUUCGUUGUUUUUUCCUUUCUUUCUGGCUUCAAUCAGCAGAUCUUAACAUGUCAAGAGUCAUUACAGGCCUUGUGGAGGGAAAGGAGAUUACACAGUUUUUUUUUUUUUUUUUUUUUUUUUUUUUUGCUUAUAAUGGGCAAUUGUUCUACUAAGUGGUAGGCAACGAUCAACAGAACCUAAACUGCGCCCACAUUUUUUGCAAGAAGCGGACGAGCAAGCAGAGUAACAACAAGACAGCGGUUGGAAGUUGAACUUGUGUUUCCUUGAAAACACAUUUGUGUGGAAAUAGUGAUUGUUUGAUUAUUUGGAAGCAUUUCAACAAGCUCUAUUGAUCAAGUUGUACCAUGUACAGUUUCUUUGAACCUCUGGUCGGGGAUUUCAUGCCCAACUGAACGUGGCUCUGAAGUUGUAAGGGCUUUGGAGAAGAAAUAAAAGAUCAGUUGAAAGAUUAAGAACCAGCUUCUUGGCAAGAUUGUAUGGUUGGCAUGAGGGAGAUUUGUUUCCAUCGAAGGCUUUUGAAGCGUGUGCAAGAACUUCGGGAAGAGACGGAGUGGUACAAUAAUGAGAGUGUGAAGAGAGAAGAUAGUGCCAUAAUUUGCAAUACAAAGUCGACAUGAUGGAGGAGGAACAAACAAAAGAUUGCAAAUAAUUUGGAUGAGGAGUUUGAAUUUAUAGGAUGACGUGAUUAUUGAAAUAUUAUUUCACCAAUAUAGUUUAAUAUACAUAUUAAUUACACUUAGUAAUUAAUAUUACUAAGUGUGAGUGUUAUGAAAAAAUAUGUAGUUGAUUGUCAUUUGUGAAUAUGGUAAAAAAUGAAACUGAUAGUUUUACUUAUUAUGUUUUACAAGUUAAAAUUAAAAAUACUAUAAGUUAAUCAUGUAGUCAUUAAAAUUUGAUGUUAAAUAUUUUUAGUUUAUGAAUUAACAAAAUAUGUAAGAUAUGAAAAUAUUAUAUGGUGGUUAUCAAGUUUAGUUUAUGAAUGAAGUUUUUGUUCUUAGAAUAUCAAAUAGAUGUAUUGUUAUUAGAGCUUCAAGGACUUCAUGCAUGCACAAGACAAUACUUUGUAAAAACCACUACCAAUGACACACACUUAUUCUAUAAAUGACCUUGUUUAUUACCAAAAAAUUGGAAUCACAUGGCUUCUAGUCCAAUUCUACUCCUCCUGGAGGUUCUAUAAUCUUGUACCACUAUACUCAGUUUGCUAAUUCUUGAUUAUACGUUGUGGUAUUUCUUUGGCACCACCUUUGUUUUGUAGUUGUAAUAAUAGUGUUGUUCUUAUCUUCCUACUUGUUAUGCUACAAGUUUUAGUUGACCUCAUGUUGUUUUAAACUAUUUAUAAAUAUCACUUAUUAUAAGAAUUAAAUUAUUAAAUUAUUAUGUUUAGUUUUUAUUUAUUAUGUUUUUCAAGUAAUAGAUUCUACAAUAUUAUUUUUUGAACCAACUAUGUAGCACCAUUCUUAAAAGUUACUUUUAAUUGACAAUAUUUUUAAUUAUUAUUUAGUGUAUAUAAAUUUUAAUUAAUAUUAGAUUUUUAUAAAAUUAUAUUAUUAGAUCAUAUUUAUGACCUAAAAUUUGAUUGCCAACUUUAAUAUUUCUUACAUUUGAUAAAAAUUAGUUGUAGAUAGAAUUGUUGAGAUUAAAUAAAAUAAAAUAUUAAAUAUGUAUAUUAACCUAUAUAUUUUUAAGAAAGUUAAUUGUGUUUUUUUAAAAGUAUAAAUGAAUCAUUACUACAAUCCAUAGAGUAAUGUCUAAAUUAUGUUAAUUUUUUUAAAAGUGAAAUAUUAUAAAUUUUAUAAAAAUAUAAUAAGUAUAAAAAAUUGAUAUUUAUUUAUUUAUUUAUUUAACUUUAGAUUUAUUGCUAAUUUUAUUGCAUAUAUAUAUAUAUAUAUAUAUAUAUAUAUAAUAUUAUGUACCUAUGUCUUUAAAACAAUGCAUGCUAUUUUGUAGUAUCAAAUUAAUUUGAUCAAAAUUGGAUUAUAUUUUUGCUUGAUUUUACUUUUUAACAAGCUUUAUAUUAUUUUUAUUCUUAAAAUUAAUUUUAUUUGAUAUUUAAAAGUAUGUUGGAUAUAAUACUAGUGUAUGUCUUCUUUAUAUUAGAAUCUAACCAAGUUUAUCAAAAUAGAUCACCAACCUUAUGUUUUAGCACAAAACUUAAUAUCUUAUGUCAAAUUGUGACUUAAGAUGGAUCCAAAAAAUAAUUUGAUGCCAAAAGAAUUUUCACUCUUGUCCAAUUAUGAAAACUUAAGAUAAAUCCUUUGUUUCUUUGAAUAUCCAAGAUAGUAUCAUGGAUCUAAAUCAUAAGCUAUAUGAAUUUAUUGUUUUCUAAAUCAUAAAAUCGACUUUUUUUUUGGAAAAUGAAUUAAUUUGCACACAGUAUUAUUUUCAUACAAGUUGAUUAAUAAUUACUAAAGAAUAGUAUAGUAAAAUCUAAAAUCAUCUAUUAUCUUUUUUAAAAAAUAAUUUUUAAAUGAAGAUAUUUGAGAUAUUUUAAACUUGUUACAAGCUUUAUUUAUGUAUCUUAGGUACCCAACAUAAGCCAAAAUGCAUAUCAAUAAUAGAAAAGCCAUUCCUUAUAAGAAUUAUUUUCAAUACAUCAUAUGCUAUUUUAGAACAUCUAAGUUUAGGCAUAUAUCUUUCUUCUUAAUUGUGCAAAAAUAUAAUAUAGUACUUAUAAUUAAGUCAAAAUCUUUACUAAUCUAAUAUAUAUAUAUAUAUAUAUAUAUAUAUAAUUUUUAAAUUUUUAUUUCUGUAUUGUAAGUUAAAUCACCUCAAACACUACUCCUAGAUUUUAAAUAACUUUCUUUUGAUUUAGAAAAUUUAAGUAAGGGAAAAAAUUACAUAAUACCUACUCUCAAGUUUUUGAAGAGUGGAUUCUAUAUGAAUCAAGCUACAAUUGGAUUUAUUUUGAUUAGAAAGAUUUUAAAACCACCAGUACAAUUACUCAUUAUCUCCAAAACAUUACAAAUUUAAGCCACUUGUGAAUAUUUAGUGACGAGAAAUAAAAGUAUCACAUCAAUUUAUCAAUACAUUGGUCUAAAUAUGGCAUCAAAAGAACACACUAUGUCACACAAAAAUUAAACAAUUAAAAACUGCUGCAUUAUACAACACAUGUGAUCCCUUGUUGCAAAUCUUUAUUCUCUUUGAUUGUAUUUUUGUUUUUAAAUUUUGGAAAUAUUUGUCGUUUUAAUUGAAAUGGAGAGUGCAUUAUGAUUAAGGUAUAACAUAAGAUAGCUAAUGCACUAAAUAAUAAUGUUGUUUAUUUUUACAAAAAUAAUGUAACAAAAAGAAUUUUGUUUAUUUUUACACUAUUAUAAUAUAUCAUUUAUAAUUGAUAAUUUAAGGAUUUACUAUAUGUAUGGAGACACACAUUAAUACAUAUCUAUACAAGACUGUGAAACUUUGUCAAAAACUGUAAAAAUUCAAGUUGGCAUCUCAAAUAAUUGGAGGUUAUAAGUGUCUCCAAAAAAUAUUUAAAUGCUGGAGGCUGUUAUCUACAUUGCCAACAAAAGUACUUAAAUGCCACAUAUGGCUUUAAAAUAAAUACAUUGAAACGAAUAACAACAGAGAUAUCCAAACUGAUUCUUAACAGUUUAUUUAAUUUUAUUUAAAUGGUUUCUGAAUUAAAUGAAAAUAUUUUUUAAAUAUUUCUAGGACAAUCAACGUUUUAUGGAAGUUAAAUCUAUUUCAUAAUAACCUCUUACAAGUCAUUGCAAUAAAAAUUUAAUGAUGGAUGAAAAAUAUGUAUACAUUUCUUACAUAGAAAAUAUAAAAAUGUACUUUGAAUACAUAGAUAAAGCUAUGAAGUUUCUUGGUUCUUAUUAUGCUGAGCUAUAAUUUAUUAUUAUUAUUAUUAUUAUAUAUAAUGAUUACAUGUAGAACAUUUUUAUUAGGAUGCAAAUCAAACAAAAUAUCCUAUAAAUUAAUAGAUAUACAUGUUUUCAUCAGUUAAUCGUCCUGUAAUAACUCAUCAAUUACAAUGUUCAAAGACUAACAAUUCUGGAAUUUUCCUUCACUGUUCUAUACUUUUUCCUCGUGAUUAGACACACUCUUAACAAACCAUGCUUUUGCAUGCUGAAUUUUACUUCACGGAAAGAGAAUGUUUUCUGUUGUCAUUGUUGUAAGCACUGCUGCUAUUGUUAUUACUAUUGCCACUCAUCCAUUUAAUAUUCACAUUUUGUUUAGUAUCAUGACCAAAACAUCACAUAACAGCGUUCUUCGAUGUGCUUCUACCAUAAUUUUAUAAACGUGACAACGAAGCAUGCAAAAUCUUCAGCAUUUCAAAUUAUCUUUAACCGAAGAGCUUUGAAUCUAAUCAGCAUCCACUUGGUUACGGUAGCGGGUCAUUUUACAAUUCUUGUAAUUACAAAACAAAAGUGGUCGAUGCAACCUCACAUUCGUAUUGUGAAGUGUAUGAUCUGUCUGUAAUAUUAGGAACUGUGGACUUAAACUACAAGCUGAAGCUGUUGUAUGUAUCAACACCGAAACCCCGAGUUUCAACAAUUUCUCAAACUUUAAACUUCAGUAAGAACUUGAAAAAUCUACAAAUUGGGUUACACAAUGUUCAAGACCUAAUUUUUUCCAGUUGAUACGAUAGGACGAAAGCUCCUUCAACUAUCAUCCGAGAGAAGCGGAUGAAUUGACGACGAUGGGAUUAGGGUUUCAUUGUUGCGGAGGUGGAGAGCGUUGAAGAUCCAGAGCAGGAUGAAGAGUCUCUCCCUUUUCGCAGCUGCAAUUCCAGCCCCUGCAGCUCUGCAAUUUCCUGGCUGCGUUUUAUCAGCGAGACACCAUGAAGGAGAGCGAUGUGCAGAUGAUGCUGGCUGCCGACGUGCACCUCGGCACCAAGAACUGCGACUUCCAGAUGGAGCGCUACGUCUGGAAGCGCCGCUCCGAUGGUAAUUAGGGCUUUUUCCCCCUGUGGCCCGUGUUGGGGUUUGGUUGGGUGCGUGUGCGAGUGUUCGUUUUUUGGUGCGGGGGCGGCGCGGGGGGUUUGGUGCGGAUGGAAUUGGUUUGUGAAGGUGGGCGAUUGACGAGGGUAGUGGGGUCGUUGUUUUAUUCUGUGUGGGCAGGCAUUUUCAUCAUCAACGUGGGCAAGACCUACGAGAAGCUGGAGCUGGCCGCGAGGGUGAUUGCUGCCAUCGAGAACCCGCAGGACAUCAUCGUCCAGUCCGCGAGGCCGUACGGGCAGCGCGCGGUGCUGAAAUUCGCGCAGUACACGGGAUGCCAGGCCAUCGCGGGGAGGCACACGCCCGGUACGUUUACGAAUCAGCUGCAGAACACGUUCAGCGAGCCCAGGCUGCUGAUUUUGACGGACCCCCGCACUGAUCACCAGGUGAGUGACUGAGGUGGGAGACGAUGGACGGAUGGGAGCAGAGGGGGGUUGUUUUAGGGCUGGAGGGGGUGAGGAAUGGAUAAGGUGGAGAAGUGGGGCGGUGUGUGACGAUGAGUUGUGUUAUGUUUGGCAGCCCAUCAUGGAGGCAGCUCUGGGGAACAUUCCCGUGAUCGCGUUCUGUGACACGGACUCUCCGAUGAAGUACGUGGAUAUCGCGAUUCCGGCGAACAACAAGGGCAAGCACAGCAUCGGUGCUCUGUUCUGGCUGCUGGCCCGCAUGGUGUUGCAGAUGCGAGGCACGAUCAGCGCCGCGCACCCAUGGGACGUGAUGGUGAGUGUGGCGAUUUGGGAGGUUUGGGAGGGGGGAGGGGGCAUUGCGGGGUGGGAGGGGUUGGGAUGUGAAUGUGGUGGACGUGGCGGGUAAUGCAUGGGGGAUAGGUUGGAUGGUGUGGGAGGGCGUAUGGGAAUUGGGAGGAACGGAGAGCGGGGCUGGGUGAUAGUUGGUGGCGAGGGGAGGGGGCUGAUUGUGCGAGUUGGGGGGGGGGUCGGGUGUGCGGUGCAGGUUGACCUGUUCUUCUACAGGGAGCCCGAUGAAGGCAAGGACCGUGAGGAAGAGGAGGGAGGAGCAGCUGAGUUCGCCGCAGUUGAAUACGCGGCGCCGACGCUUGCUUUGGGAGGGGAUGCCCAGUGGGGUCCCGAGGCCGCUGAGGCCGGGCAAUGGGAGACGGACGCAGCAGCUGGUGCGGUGCCCGCAGGGGCUCCAGCUGGUUGGGACGUGGGAGCCGCUGCUGCGCCAGUUGCUCCCGCAGGUUGGGAUCCCGCCGCGCCUGCUGAGGCUCCCGUCGCACCCGCUGGGUGGGAACCUGCCGCUUAAAAAACUGACCUUUCUACGGGUUGAAAAUUCAAUAUAUCGCCUAAUUGCCUUGUGAAAGCGUUUGCUUUGUGGGCUUGGAUGGAACACCUCUUUAAUGGUAUAUCCUGGUUGUCACUUAGAAUUUGUGUUGGGCCCUCUCCUGGUGUUACAAUUUUUGUUGUUUGUUUCGUCUAUGGGUGGACGCAUUGCUUGGAUGUCUUUAAUGUCGGGGGGUUGUUUUGUAGUUGCUUAUGUUGUAUACAUUUGGUUUAGAAGAUUAUCGAUCGGAACUAAUGCUUUUCAUUUGGCAUGUCGUCGGGAUGUAUAACGUCCUAUGUGAUACUUUUGUAGUGGUGUCCCUCAUGAGCUUGAUGUUGUCUGUGUAAAUGGCCUUCAGUGCGUACUGUUUUGUUAUGAAUCUAUCACUUGCCCUCGAAAUUGCGUCAUGUAUGAAUAUUUUAAAAUUGUUCAUUAAAACGUCAUAUUUGAAAAGUACUUACUGAAUUUUUAAUCAAACCUUAUUCCUGUAAUGGGAAAGUGGCCUCUUUUGAACCUACAAUGAGUAUAUGCGACAGUUACAUCUCUUACUGUAACAAAUAAUGAAAUCUUUCAGUGAUGAUAA
rnacentral:lncRNA from 1 species